AAAUGCGAUAAGUAAUGUGAAUUGCAGAAUUCAGUGAAUCAUCGAAUCUUUGAACGCACCUUGCGCUCCUUGGUAUUCCGAGGAGCAUGCCUGUUUGAGUGUCAUGGAAUUCUCAACUCUAUUUGCUUUUGUGAAUAGAGCUUGGAUUUGGUGGUUUAUUGCUGGUACUUGUGAUCGGCUCCUCUUGAAUGCAUUAGCUCGAACCUUUGCGGAUCAGCUAUCGGUGUGAUAAUUGUCUACGCCGUUGCAGUGAAGCAUAUCAAUGGGCUCGGCUUCCAAUCGUCCUUUACUGGACAAUGACUUUGACCUUUGACCUCAAAUCAGGUAGGAUUACCCGCUGAACUUAAGC
rnacentral:misc_RNA from 1 species